GAUGAACGCUAGCGAUAGGCUUAACACAUGCAAGUCGAGGGGCAGCGAGGGCAGCAAUACCUGUCGGCGACCGGCGCACGGGUGAGUAACGCGUAUGUAACCUGCCCGCAACAGGGGGAUAACCCGGCGAAAGUCGGACUAAUACCGCAUAAAACAGGGGUCCCGCAUGGGAAUAUUUGUUAAAGAUUUAUCGGUUGCGGAUGGGCAUGCGUACCAUUAGGUAGUUGGUGAGGUAACGGCUCACCAAGCCUUCGAUGGUUAGGGGUUCUGAGAGGAAGGUCCCCCACACUGGUACUGAGACACGGACCAGACUCCUACGGGAGGCAGCAGUGAGGAAUAUUGGUCAAUGGGCGAGAGCCUGAACCAGCCAAGUCGCGUGAAGGAUGACUGCCCUAUGGGUUGUAAACUUCUUUUACAAGGGAAUAAAAUGAGAUACGUGUAUUUUAUUGCAUGUACCUUGGGAAUAAGCAUCGGCUAACUCCGUG
rnacentral:rRNA from 1 species